rnacentral:rRNA from 1 species
AGGGAAUCUUCCGCAAUGGACGAAAGUCUGACGGAGCAACGCCGCGUGAGUGAUGAAGGUUUUCGGAUCGUAAAGCUCUGUUGCCAGGGAAGAACGUCUUCUGGAGUAACUGCCAGGAGAGUGACGGUACCUGAGAAGAAAGCCCCGGCUAACUACGUGCCAGCAGCCGCGGUAAUACGUAGGGGGCAAGCGUUGCCCGGAAUUAUUGGGCGUAAAGCGCGCGCAGGCGGCUGUUUAAGUCUGGUGUAUAAUCCUGGGGCUCAACUCCGGGUCGCACUGGAAACUGGAUGGCUUGAGUGCAGAAGAGGAGAGUGGAAUUCCACAUGUAGCGGUGAAAUGCGUAGAGAUGUGGAGGAACACCAGUGGCGAAGGCGGCUCUCUGGUCUGUAACUGACGCUGAGGCGCGAAAGCGUGGGGAGCAAAC